AUGCUAUGUCUUGUGCUACCACGUUUGUGUUUUGUCAUAUCUGAAGAUUUACCUACUAUUAUUUCUGAUGUUUCAUUCCCCAAGUCUAUGAUGCCUGAAACUUUAAAUGUUCUGUUUAGUCAUACUGUGGAUCAUGGCGAUUCAUGGAGAUCUUGUUGUGCCAUUUUCUUUUGCUGGCAUCUCAAGGCUGGCGGUUGUGUUUGCUGUCUCCAGUGUUUAGGUGGAAACUACAUAAUCAUAUUUGGUAACUUUGGGGAGAAGUUGGGAUUUUUGUUGGUAUGCAGGUGGAGACUACAGAAUCAUAUUUGCUAA
rnacentral:rRNA from 1 species